GGGACGUCCAUGCAGUCCUGGUGUCCUGAAAGAAAUGCUUUCUCUUAGCAAAUGGAGGUAAUACAGAUCUCUUUGGCUGACAGGCCCCUGGGCGCCAAGGAGAAGGCCCUGUGAAGGAUGCUAGCCUCUGACAGCACCUGCUUCCUGACAGAACUGCAGUGGUGGGAGGAGAAGCCAUGAACAGGACUCUGGGAGGUGAUGCUGGAGUGCCCAGUGCCUGGACUGAGUAGCUGAGUGCCACAGGGCAAGUCACAUAACCAUCUGUGCCUCAGUUUCUUCUCCUGUAGAAGUGAUGGCCUUUCUGUGGCUGCCCAAACCAAACGGGAAUUUAAUGAGAUGAGGGAUAUCCGGCGGCUCGUCGCUUAUUUUGGAACAACAUUCAGAUAUUUGGGUUGACGACUACUGCUGAGGCUGGGCCUGAGCUGGAAGCCUGGCUGGGGGCUCUGUGAAGGCUCAGCUGGGAUGUCCCACCACCACCAGGAAACAUUUUACAGUUUGAGGGUUGCUGGGGAAAUAACCUUGGUUAAGCUGGAGAUUGAUGGAGACUCUGCAGAAGCUGGACCCCAAGAUGGUGUUCAUUGAAUGUUUAUGAACAGAAUCAUGAGAAACAAACACUCUAUGAAUCCUCAAGACAUUGAAUAUGUACCCUAAAUCUAUAGUGAGAAAAGAGGCCUGAUAUUAACAGAGAGCAGAAGUUUAAUUUUGAGAAAUGGAUUUUGGAAAGAAUAAUAAUAAUAUUAAGAUCUUAGAAUUAUGUGUUGUUUAAUUCAACAUACACAAAGCCCAUGCCAGGGACCAGGGUGGUGGUGGUAGGGAGGUGGGAUGCAGGGACAUAAGGAGCUUGAGCUCUGCCCUAAGGGAGCUUCCUCUGAGAGACAGAGAAGCCCCCAGAAUCACUCUGCUGUCUCUGGGCAACCCAGGGGAAAAACUGAAGCUUAGAAAUAGAUGCGUGACUCAGAACUGAGCCUUUGGGCUACAGGAGUGGAGGCUUAAAGGGUAUGCUGCAGAUCUAGCUCAUCAAGGGCGCAAGGACAUUCCAAGAGGAAAGAAUGUGUGAGCAAAGACUAGCUGGGAGACAACCGUAGGGGUGCCAGACAGAGCUUUGGGCUUGGUGUUAGAAGACACGUAUUCCAAUCACGGCUUUACCCCAUGCUCCAUGCAGCUCAGGUGACCUAUCUGGGUUUAGAUUCUGAUCUCUAAAAUGGGGGUGCUCAAGUAGAUAAGUGAAGGAGUUCUUCCCAGCCGAGUGAGUCAGGUGAUCUAUGGGCUGUCUUUCUUUGAUGGUUUGAGCAUGAAGUCUACUCAAAACUGAUUAAUUUCCUUCAGACACAGUGUGGUGUGGUGAAAAUAGCCUUGGAAUUGGGGGUAGAGGCUGGUUUCUAAUUUUGACUUCUUUACCUUGAGUCAGCACUGUUCAGUUCAACCAACAUAAAUAUGGCACUCAUUAGGAGCCAGGCAUGGGUUCACAUUUGAGAAUGAAAGGGCACGUUAUUAUGUUACAACAACAGAUUUAAUUAAAGAAGGACUGACCUAGGCAAACUGAGAUAUGGAAUCUCCCUAGUACGUACCAUAUUAAACACUU
rnacentral:lncRNA from 1 species